UACAGAGGUCUCGAGCGUUGUUCGGAUUCAUUGGGCGUAAAGGGCGCGUAGGCGGCGGGGUAAGUCUGGUGUGAAAUCUCGGAGCUCAACUCCGAAAUUGCACUGGAUACUGCUCUGCUAGAGGGCUGGAGAGGAGAUCGGAAUUCACGGUGUAGCAGUGAAAUGCGUAGAUAUCGUGAGGAAGACCAGUGGCAAAGGCGGAUCUCUGGACAGCUCCUGACGCUGAGGCGCGAAGGCUAGGGGAGCAAACGGG
rnacentral:rRNA from 1 species